rnacentral:rRNA from 1 species
GACGAACCGUGCGAACGUUGUUCGGAAUCACUGGGCUUAAAGGGCGCGUAGGCGGGUGGUCAAGUCAGGGGUGAAAUCCUCCGGCUCAACCGGAGAACUGCCAUGGAUACUGGGCGUCUCGAGUGUGGUAGGGGUAUGCGGAACUAUCGGUGGAGCGGUGAAAUGCGUUGAUAUCGAUAGGAACUCCGGUGGCGAAGGCGGCAUACUGGACCACCACUGACGCUGAUGCGCGAAAGCGUGGGGAGCAAACAGG